UAAGAUAUAGCUCAGUGGUAGAGUGCAUGCCUAGCAUGCACAAGGUCCUGGGUUCAAUCCCCAGGAUCUCUG
rnacentral:tRNA from 1 species